rnacentral:RNase_P_RNA from 1 species
CGCUGCUUCAACUUGUUGAAGGGGAGGAAAGUCCGGACACCAUAGAGUACUGUACCAUGAGAAACCAUGGGCACUUUUGAAGGAAUUCUUGAGUGACAGAUAGGGCCGCAGAAAAUAGACUACCAAAAGGCUGCCUGAGCGUAGUCGAAGGCAGCUUUUUGGAAAAGGUGAAAAGGUGCGGUAAGAGCGCACCAGUAUUGCAAGAAAUUGCAAUAGCUUGGUAAACCUUGCAGGGUGCAAGACCAUGUAAACCGAAGUUUGAUCUCCUACGCUUCGGCUACGGAGAUUAUGAAGGGCUGCUCGCCCGAUUUCGGAGGGUAGGUUGCGUAGACAAAUGGUAGAUUAAAACAGAAUCCGGCUUAUU